UGGGGAAUAUUGCACAAUGGGCGGAAGCCUGAUGCAGCGACCCGCGUGGGGGAUGAAGGCCUUCGGGUUGUAAACUCCUUUCGACAGGGACGAAGCUUUUGUGACGGUACCUGUAUAAGAAGCACCGGCUAACUACGUGCCAGCAGCCGCGGUAAUACGUAGGGUGCGAGCGUUGUCCGGAAUUACUGGCCGUAAAGAGCAAGUAGGUGGUUUGUCGCGUCGUCUGUGAAAUUCCGGGGCUUAACUCCGGGCGUGCAGGCGAUACGGGCUGACUUGAGUGCUGUAGGGGAGACUGGAAUUCCUGGUGUAGCGGUGAAAUGCGCAGAUAUCAGGAGGAACACCGAUGGCGAAGGCAGGUCUCUGGGCAGUAACUGACGCUGAGGAGCGAAAGCUUGGGUAGCGAACAGGAUUAGAUACCCUGGUAGUCCAUGCCGUAAACGGUGGGCGCUAGGUGUAGGGGGCUUCCACGUCUUCUGUGCCGUAGCUAGCGCAUUAAGCGCCCCGCCUGGGAGUACGGCCGCAAGUCU
rnacentral:rRNA from 1 species